rnacentral:rRNA from 1 species
AUUGAACGCUGGCGGCAUGCUUUACACAUGCAAGUCGAACGGCAGCGCGGGCUUCGGCCUGGCGGCGAGUGGCGAACGGGAGAGUAAUGCAUCGGAACGUGCCCAGUAGUGGGGGAUAGCCCGGCGAAAGCCGGAUUAAUACCGCAUACGACCUGAGGGUGAAAGCGGGGGACCGAAAGGCCUCGCGCUAUUGGAGCGGCCGAUGUCGGAUUAGCUAGUUGGUGGGGUAAAGGCUUACCAAGGCGACGAUCCGUAGCUGGUCUGAGAGGACGACCAGCCACACUGGGACUGAGACACGGCCCAGACUCCUACGGGAGGCAGCAGUGGGGAAUUUUGGACAAUGGGGGCAACCCUGAUCCAGCCAUGCCGCGUGCGGGAAGAAGGCCUUCGGGUUGUAAACCGCUUUUGUUCGGGAAGAAAUCCUCUGGGCUAAUACCCCGGGGGGAUGACGGUACCGGAAGAAUAAGCACCGGCUAACUACGUG